UCACAAGUGUUAGCACCCUUUCAUCCAGAUAUAGUCACUUAUGGCUCCAGCAUGGAAACCAACGUUGCGCAAAUGGCCCAAACAGCCCAAGCACAAAUGGUCAGUGGGUGACGGCACGGUGGCUUAGUCCAUCUUAAAUACACAGUCUGUGAGUGACAUUUGCAUGUGUGUUUAAAGUGCUAAAACAGAUUUGAAAAACUCAACAGUAAUGCCCAUUUCCAAAAUCAUGAUCCAUUUACUCUUCCUACAGAACUACACCCAUGACUGUGCAGAAGAAACCUUUCAUUUUCCCAUGACAAGAGCAGACAUUAUUUGGAAAAUAGUACAUUAAAGGUUUCUGAAUUAAGUGGGCCCUGCUCUGCCGAGUUUUUCAAAUCCUAACCCUAACCUGUUGCACACAAAUAUUUAAGAGACGUUUAGUUCCAUUAUACCGAAGAGACGAGAAGGCAAAAAUCUUUACAGCCAAUACACAAGAUAGGAAUGGAGUGAAAGCAUGGCAGGCCACAGGGAAGAUGUGCAAAUGUGAUUUUAGGGUGACUUAUUCCUUUAAGUAGAGCUACUUCUUUCUGUAAUACUUUCCCAAAAAAUACAGUUUACAUCAGAAGAAUAUAAAUUGAAAUUGAUUUAAUUUCUUCCCCAGAGAAUAACUCUGUUUGUUUUAUUGACCUUUCCCUGACCUUUCUUGUGGCGCCUUCAGGAAAAUUUAACAAAUUUAUUCCUAGGAUGGAAAACCCCAGAUAUCUUAACCAGUACUUUCAUACUGAUUUAAAAUGUUGAGAGGGCUUGAUUUGAUGAGGAACUUACUGCAAUCCGUUGUUAUGUCUGUUUUCACUCCUGCUUACAUAGAGACACUUACAUACAGAGACUACAGCAACAUGCCCAAUUGUGUCUGUUUCUAAUCUGCACCAUGCUGUGUUGGCGUCACAAGCGGUAUACUAUCUGUGCCUGAGACAGACACCAAACAUGCGAAAGCCUGACUCUCGUGGGGAAAACCUGGACCACCGAGUCAGUCUUUGUGAUGGCAACCCGACUCGUGACAAAUAUCCAGCAUUCCUUUUUUGGCGAUGGACUACAGGCCUGGUCAGCAGCCUUAAUUAUGCAAUGACAACCAACUCCAAAACUGCUAAAAACAAGUGGUCCACAGGCAAAAUAAAACAUGAUUCAACUUCAUGUUACUUUUCAGAAACAACGGAGAAGUUGCCUUAACUCUUGCUUGUAUAAUCUCUCCAGUUAAGACAAUGAUGCUCGCUUGUAAAGAAGACUCUCCCUUCUUUGUACAAAAUGAAAUAUACCAGAAACAACAACUUUGUUAUCUUGCUAGUGUCAAUGUAUAGAUGAUCAGCUUUUUCUGUAGCUUGUAUGGACCGUCACAUUUUUGCUAAGAAGAGAACCCCCUCACCCCACCCCUUCCAGACUUUCUCGUUCCUAAUCAUCCAAACUGUUUUAACUCGUGGUGGACUGUCAAUCUUUUUUGUGUACAUUUUAUAGUAUUAUUUAUUGUUGACAAGUUUUGCAUUUGCAAAUAAAAAAGUAAAGGUGGUUUGACCUGAGCAUUUGAUUCCAAUGUAAAUGCUUGGUGAACAGUGACAUGCUUUUUCUUUUCUUUUUUUUAAUCAUUAAAAAGGAGGACACAGUGAUAUGAGGAGGCCUUUUUAUUAUGUAGUAACAUGUACAUAACAUGUGGCCAAAAUUGCUUUUGGAGAAUGGUCAUUUUUUUGUGUUGUAACAGUAUUUGUUUUAUUCAGUGAAUUGCCC
ensembl:lncRNA